CACAGGUACACACACAGACACACAGGUACACACAGGUACACACAGGUACACACAGAGACAAACAGGUACACACAGAGACACACAGGUGCACACAGAGACACACAGGUACACACAGGGACACACAGAGACACAGGUACACACAGGUACACACAGGUACACACAAGUACACACA